UACGGGGGGAGCAAGCGUUGUUCGGAUUUACUGGGCGUAAAGGGCGCGUAGGCGGCGUGACAAGUCACUUGUGAAAUCUCCGGGCUUAACCCGGAGCGGUCAAGUGAUACUGUCGUGCUAGAGUGCGGAAGGGGCUACUGGAAUUCUCGGUGUAGCGGUGAAAUGCGUAGAUAUCGAGAGGAACACCUGCGGCGAAGGCGGGUAGCUGGGCCGACACUGACGCUGAUGCGCGAAAGCCGGG
rnacentral:rRNA from 1 species